UGCACUCAGACUUCCUGACAGAGGCUUCUUCCGGCUGUGGCCAUUAGUCAGUUGAGAGACGGGUAAUUGGUCAGAGGGCUGAGAAUGAAGACUGAGGACUCGGCUCUAAAUGGUACCUUUACAUCAUUAACCCCAUCACCACCAAGGCUGAGCAACAUUGUGGACGGGGAGGCAGAAAUAAGGCAAGAGACUUUCUGUGAUUUACAUUGUGGAGCUCAGUGACACUGAGCCAGACAGCUCAUCACCUCCAGAGGCAACGGGUGGAGACAUGACAGCUGCUUGGGAAAUGAGAGGGGGAUCAGGACAGCGUGCUCUGCUGCCUCGGAACGCCUCGUCUUUUCCAGAGUGUCAGGGGUGCUGCCAUGUGCCCUGUGCGUAGGAAGAGUCCUGUACUCAACAGCUGCAAACCCUCUAAUGGAAUUCUGUAGAAGUUCUGGCCUCAGUUUUGGUCUCCUAUAUGAAAAAUGGGGUUCUGAUGGAGAGGCAGUGGUGUGAAGAAGGGAUGCUGAGAAUCUGGCCACGUGCACACCGCAUCCCUCAAGGAAGCUCCUGACACAUCAGUGUGGAGGCUGUCGUGUUGUGUUCCCCCAGUGGGGCUUUUGGUUCUGCGCCUGGAUUCAAUGUAUUCACCUCACUCAAAGAAAAAUACAGUAUGUUCCAGAAAAGAUUUUUUGAGAAAAGCAUGCUGGCCUAAUAUACAUAAGAACUUCGAGUUCUGAGAAGGAGUUUGCGUAAAAUCCUAAAAUAGGACAACUCUAGUUUGCCUAAAAAGUAAAGGAAAGGGAAAUGGUGUUUAUGUGCUUGAAGCUGUGGGAUGGAUGCAUAAAAAUACGUAAGAGAUGCUCUAUCAGCUCUGGUGUUCCCUGACUCCUUUUCCUUGCUAAAUGAACACACCACACUUGACUUAAAUGUUUACGCUGCCCAUUUUCUGAAUGUUUGCACAUGCACAGUUACUGAACUACCACCACAAUCAGGACACAGAAUAGUUCCACCCGCGCCUGCCAUGGUCCCUGCUGCCCUGUAGAUGUGUCCCUUUCUCACUUUUCACCUCUGGCAACCACUCUCUGUCCUCAUGUUUGUUUUUAUGCCCCAUGUCAUAAACCACUAGGAAAGGCAAAUUAAAGCCACGUUAGAAUUACCUAUGAAAUGCCAGGCAACUUUCUGUGCCUUCCCUGACCCCCUCCAGUGUGUCUUCAUUGACUCGUAAAGUGUGUAUUCAAAUCAUUUGUCCAUUUAAAAAUUUUGGUUGUGUUGUUUUGUACACUCUGAAUACAAGUUUCCAGUGUGACAUGUGAUUUGCAAAUGUUUCUUCCAGACCAUGGUUACUUUCGUAUUUUCUUAGCAGUACCUUUCCAGUAGCAGAAAUUUGUAUUUUAGUGAAGUCCAAUUUAGCAGUGUUGCCUUUUAUGGGAUAUAUUUGGUGCCUCAUGAGAGAACUUCUUGCAAAACCCAAAGUCAUGAGGCUUUUCUCCUUUUCCCCUUUGGAAGUUUUGCAACUUCACAUUGAGAUCAUGACCCACUUGAGGCUUACUUUUGCAGAUGGUGUAGACACAGGCUAAGAUUCACUUUCUGGACAUAAAUAUCUAAUUGUUCAAGCACCAUAUACAACUCUAUCCUUUCUCUGUUUUUCUUUGUGAUUUUUGCUAAAAAUAAUGUACUUGCAUAGGUUUAUUCCAGUAAUAUCUAGUCCACUCAAUUAGACCCACCUGCCUGCCCUUCUCUCCCUGUGAGUUUUGAUGGUAAGCUCAUAGAUCAUAUAAUAGUAGUCCUCUAAUUUUGUUCUUAUUCAUCAAAAUUGUCUUCCCUAGUUUAGUUCUUCAUGUUUUACCUGUAAAUAAUAGCUUAUCUGUGUCUAUAAUAAUUCUUCUGGGACUCUAAUUGAAACUUUAUACAUUCAUCAAUCAGUUUAGGGAGACUGACAUCUUAAAUACUUUGAAUAUUCUGAUCCACACAUUUGAUAUAUAUCUCUAUUCAAGUCUUUGGUUUCUUUCAUCAAUGUUUUGUAGUCAUAGAAUACAGACUUUGCACAGGUUUUGUUAUAUUCUUAACUGUAAUGAUUAGUUUUACAUGUCAAAAUAGAUCACUGUAUGUAAUCCAGAGAUACCCAGAAAUAGCCUAGUGAAAUACCAAGAUGAAGCUGGCUUGUGACAAGUUUGUGGGGAAUUAUCUUGAUGUUAUUUGAUAUGGGAAGACACAGCCCACUGUGGGAAGAACAAUUCUGUUGGCACAAGAGGGGGAGCUGACAGAGUAAGAGGGAAGAAACCCAGCAAGCAGCAGGCAUGCAGCAUCCAGCAUCCGGCAUCAGUGUGUGUGUGUGUGAGUAUGUGUGUGUGUGUGUGUGUGUGUGUGUGUGUGUGUGUGUGUGUGUGUGUGUGUGCUUGUCUCUGCUCUUGACUGAGGCUGCGAUGUGACUAUCUGUUUGAGAUCCUGCCUUGACUUGCCCUCAAUGAUGGACUGUGACCUUCCCAAUUUUAUCACAGCAAAAGAAAUAAAAACUAAAACAAUGCCCAUUUCAUUGAUGGAACAGUUGUAAUUUUGUUAAAUUUUAUUAUAUUUCUUGAAUUAUUCUAUUGAAAUUUAAUUUUUCUGUUUCCAUUUGCUUGUUGCUAAAAUAAAGAGUUAAAAAUGCUA